GUUGACUUCAUUGCCGCUCUUUCUUUGCCUCAAUCUCAUCAUAGUUUUCACUAUUUUACACAUACAGCGGGGUCCUCAGCUUAGACCACGCGCCUCACUCUGCAUUGCUAGUACAAUGUCACAUUCGAGCAUGUAUGAAGGUAGUGACAUAGAUGAAGAAGCGAUAGGUGACAAAGAGAUAUAUGACAAAGAAUUUUAUGAUGCCAUGUACGCAUGUGUAACGGCAAUUCAUGCAUUAAUGCAUGUGUUGACUCAGUUUAUAGUUAUGAUACGUAAUGAACAAAUUGAGUGUCCAUUAAAUCGACAACGAAUUACUAACAUGGGAAAUGACUAUAUACGUCGAGCAUUAAACGAUGAUCCUGCAAUAUUUCGACAAGUUUAUAGGAUGUAUCCAGAUGUAUUUUGAAAGUUAUGUGCAAUUCUUAGAGUAAAAACACCUUUAGAGGAUACACGAUAUAUUUGUGUUGAAGAAAUGCUUGCAUCAUUCCUACAAAUUGUUGGUCAGAAUACUUGAUAUUGUGUAAUUCGUAACACAUUUGGCUAAUCACAAUUUGCUACAAGUGAAAAUUUUCACAAGAUUUUGAAGGCUUUGAAUACGAUAGCACCUACUUUGAUGGCUAAACCAUGAUCAACUAUGCCAGCUAAAAUUAGAGAAAGCACAAGGUUCUUCCCUUUCUUCAAGGAUUGCAUUGGAGCUAUUGACGGGACACAUAUUCCAGCAAUAGUGAGGGGACGAGAUGUAAGUAGUUAUCGUAAUCGUCAUGGAAAGAUAUCACAAAAUGUAUUAGCCGCUUGUAAUUUUGAUUUAGAGUUCAUGUACAUUCUUAGUGGGUGGGAGGGUUCGGCUCAUGAUUCUAAGCUACUAAAUGAUGUUAUAACAAGGAGGAAUGGACUUAA